GUCCAGGCCGAGAUUCUCAGAGAAGAGGCAUCGAGAGGGCCCAGGUGCUGAGAAGGAACUGCCCUCUCCCAGUGAAAGGAGGUUUCCCCCCAGGCUACCUAGUCCUCACGGCCCUACCGGGCAGCCCGCAACGCCCAGCCCCUCCCUCCAUGCUGCCUCUGUGUGCACGGCCCCCGGCGCCCCUACCAGGCACCAUGGACUGGAAGACGCUCCAGUCCCUACUGAGUGGUGUGAACAAGUACUCCACGGCCUUCGGGCGCAUCUGGCUGUCGGUGGUGUUCGUCUUCCGGGUGCUGGUGUACGUGGUGGCUGCAGAGCGCGUGUGGGGGGACGAGCAGAAGGACUUUGACUGCAACACCAAGCAGCCAGGCUGCACCAACGUCUGCUAUGACAACUACUUCCCCAUCUCCAACAUCCGUCUCUGGGCCCUGCAGCUCAUCUUCGUCACCUGCCCCUCGCUGCUGGUCAUCCUGCACGUGGCCUACCGGGAGGAGCGGGAGCGGCGGCACCGGCUGAAGCACGGAGACCAGUGCACCAAGCUGUAUGACAAUGCGGGCAAGAAGCACGGUGGCCUGUGGUGGACCUACCUGCUGAGCCUCAUCUUCAAGCUCAUCAUCGAAUUCGUCUUCCUCUACGUGCUGCACACCCUCUGGUACGGCUUCAGCAUGCCACGCCUUGUGCAGUGCUCCAACGUGGCGCCCUGCCCCAACACCGUGGACUGCUACAUCGCCCGGCCCACGGAGAAGAAGGUCUUCACCUACUUCAUGGUGGGCGCCUCUGCCGUCUGCAUCGUGCUCACCAUCAGCGAGAUCUGCUACCUCAUCUUCCACAGGGUCAUAAAAGGCAUACGCAACCAGAGGGGCCCUGGCAGCCGCAACCGCAAAUCCUCAGCCAGCCGGGCCUCCACCUGCCGCUGCCACCAUAAGCUGGUGGAGGGGGAGUUCGUCCUGGACGCCCACAGUGACAAGCCGCAUGCUUCAGCACCCGCUCUGACCCCCAUCUGACCACGGGCCGGGGGGUGAUGCCUGGUCUGCCAACGGGGACAGGUGGGGAGGUAUCGCGCCGGUGGAGGGGUCCUGCAGGUGCUGGGUGCCCCCACUUGGAAUUCACCGAGCUAUCCAGUUUCAUUCGGGGCAGAUACUUUUUGAGUGCUGGGCACUGUGCUGAAUACUUGGGUGUAGGUCACUCCACAGGCCCAGUGCCAUCUCUUGGGGGAAGCCAACACUGAAACGAGCAAAUUAACUACUGCGCAAGGGGAUGCUUAGGGCACUCAUACAGGGCUUCUACCCAGCCCAGGAGGGAGCGAUCAGGCGAGACUUUCCUGAGGAAGUAAAGUUUAAGAGAAGUGAGAAGUGCUUCCAAGUGGAGAGAAGAGCAGGCAAAGAGGCCUGGAGGCUACAAGAAGAGACAUGCUUGCCCUGGGUUGGAUGCACCAGACCAGAAAGAAUGUUCCUUCCCUUUGGAGAAGCACCUCGGUCCCUGUGGUGCAGAGGAAGAAUUCCCCCACCAGAGGGAGGUCUGGAGGCCUGAGAAUUCUUGGGAAGAGGAGGAGGGGGCUCUGGUGACACCAACCUCUCCUGGUGACACCCAGGGAUCCUCUGAGUCCCACUGCUCUCAGGGCAGGUCCCCCACCCCAGCCUCCACUCUCCCAGCCUCAGGAAGCUUCGCUCCCAUCUUCCUCCCUGCAGAUGUGCUGUCUGGUGCCAGCCUUUCAGGAACAUCCCCACGGCAGUUUCCUUGAAAUCAAUAAAGGCUGGGUUUUAUACAGAUUGGCUCCAUCCUCUGUUCUACACUCCCACCCACAAGACCCUGAGGUCAGGAAAGGUCGCCCUGGGAAGGAGAGAGAGCUCCAUGGCGGGGUGGGGGGUGGGGGCGGGUAUAGCUAGGGUGUGGGCUGAAGUUAGGCUGGGGCUGGGAUUGACAGGUGGGAGCUGGGGUGGAACCUACUGUGAUUGGAGAUGUGGCCACAAGAGGGCGCUAUGCUCCCGCUACAGCCGUUCUAGUGAUUUCAUAGGGAGACUGCCCUGAGCGCACACAAUCACUGCCCUCUCAUUACAGACAAAUCACAGUCCCUCCUUUGUAACCAAGGCACUGCCAUCCACAACCGCAUCCCCACCCUGUGUACACAAAAUCCCUGUUAGUCAUACUCUCACUCAUAUAUGCUGCCGGCAGGCCUGUUGUCUCCUCUACAGGCAUGCGGUCCCUGCCUCACCCAAGCGUUAUUCAGUUCCUUUCAUUUUCCUGAGCAUUUUUUCCACACCGAGCCCCCUGGCAGGAUGCCGGAGGCUGCAGAGGGGGUAGGAGCUGAGCCCAAGGAGCUCAGAGCCUGGGGGAGACAGAAACAAACUCUUCUGCAUUAACAGCACUCUGGGUGGCUCAGCCCCUCUCCCAGCACUGUGUGAGGACCUGAAACUUAGGGGACACCAACAUCAAGGCCAGACCAGGAUGGGAAGCAGAAGAGGUACAAAGGCUAUACUGACCUGGAGGAACAUUUAGUGACUAUUAAAGCCGAGGCCAGGAGGCAGCCCAGAGCCAAUGCAGGCAGGGAGAGGUCAGACCAUCGUGCAGACACAACAGGCUGUGAUUCAUCUUUGCUCUCAAGUGUGGCCAUUAGUGAGAUGGAUAAGCCAGCCAAGUUUAAGGUCCCUGGGCAGGGCUGAUAUCUACCCCCCAGGUGUGAAUCAUAGCUUAACCACUUCCGGAUCACAGCUUCCCCGUGCUACACCUUGGCAAGCUUUCAGAAUCUCUGUCUUGUCACCAAUACAAUGGGAACCGUAUCAAUCAGGGUCCUGGCAGGAAACAGAUGACACAGUCAAACCAAAUAAUGUCAAAGAGUUUCCCGGAGGGGCUGUUUUAAAAGGUGUGGGCAUGAUUAAGGAAACCCACGAAUCCUGGGGUAACUUCAGUAUCCUGGGGGUACUACCAGAGUAGCAAUGGACAGGGUUACUACACAGGUGCUCCAUCCAACCACAGCAACCAAAUAAAUUCCCCAACUUCACUCUCUCAUCUCCUGCUCACCUGCUGGUGGCUCCCACUGACCCAACCCAACCAGAAGCCAGAGAUCCAGGAGGCAGUCAGCCUCCCAAGGCACAAGGCAGGGUGGAGAGGGGGGAAGAGUAGACCAGAGGGGCAAAGGGAACAUACUCAUUCCCAGCACUCAGGACAUACCUAGGAUUGUUGUAGAGGUAAAAGGAGACACUGCAGGUAAGGCAUUAGUACAGCGUUAACAACAUAGCCAGUGACUCUCCGAGUGCAACCAUGCUCAGGAAAGCAAGCUCUGCCUGCUCCCCAGGCAACAUGGUACCUCAGCCCCAGCUUAGAUUGGAUGGUUGCAAAGGUCUUAGGGAGAAGAGAUCUCUACCUAUCUGCCACCAUGCAUUCUAGCAUCUUCCAGGACAUUCUGGCUGCCUGGCCAAGGAUGGCUUAGAGAUCAGAGCAAUCAGGGCACAUCAUUGGCUAGCCCAGAAUGGACUGAGCUUCCAGCCCGACCCUGCUUCUCCAGGGUGCAGGCCAGGACCAUGGAUGAGGGACAUUCCAGUCCUGGACAUCCUGCCUUGGGCCUGGGAGCUAUUUUGAGCAUCACAGCUUACUGUUCUCAUCCAGUAUGUGUUGGGCUAAUGUUCAUCACCCAGAGUCCCGCAGUGCACAUCACUGUCAUCAGAAGAUAGCCCUCAUGUCCCCUUGGCUUUCUCUGCUCAGGGUACACAUCUCUAUUUCCUCCUUCCUCAACUGCAUGAGCUUCCUUCAAUUGUGCAUCUGAUAGAUUUCCAUUUCAUAUACACAGCCUUCAAGCCCACAUCUACUGAAAGAUGUAACAGCCACCCUGCAGCCCUAGAAGAGAUAAGAGAAGGAUGAGGACAGGUUGAGAAGACAGCCCUGUGUAAACCAGGAGGAGGGCAGUCUCCAAGAACCCAACCAUGCAGGUUCCCUGAUCUCGCUCCAGCCUCCAGAAAUAGAUGAGCAGCCUAUUUCUCUAAUUUAAGCCCCCAGUCUGUACUAUUCUGUUACAGCAGCCUGAGCUCACUAAGACCUCCUCAUCAUCUCUCACCUGGAUUAUGGCCACAGUCUCCCUCUUGUAGGCCCCUGAUCCUGGAAAACAGACACUGAGGAAGAGUUAAGAGUGCAAAGGGUCAUAUGUAAAACUUUAGACAAUAAAAAAAUAAAUAAAAAUAAAAGAACUAAAAAAUAAUAAUCCUAUAUAAUAAAGAGGUAAUAUGCAAAUUGACCAUCACACUCUCGCACAAAAUGGCCACCCCCAUAUCGUCACAAGAUGGCCACGUCCAUGUCAUCACAAGAUGGCCACCCCAUGUCAUCACAAGAUGGCCGGCAGGGGAGGGCAGUUAGGGGUGACUGGGCCGGCAGGGGAGGGCUGUUGGGGGCAACCGGGCCAGCAGGGGAGCAGUUAGGCAUUGAUCAGGCUUGCAUGGGAGUGGUUAGGGGCAAUCAAGCAGGCAGGCGAGAGGUUGGGAGCCAGCAGUCCCGGAUUGUGAGAGGGAUGUCUGAGGGAUCCCAGAUUGGAGAGGGUGCAGGCUGGGCUGAGGGACAUCCCCCCUCCAGUGCACGAAUUUUGCGCACCAGGCCUCUAGUAAUAAUAAUAAUAAAGUAUAAAAAAAAAAAAAAA